CUUCGCUCCAGGGUGGCGUGACGGUACGUUUGGAUCAAAUCAAUACACAAAUAACUUAAGGCACAAUAUCAUUGCUGACCACUUUGGUAAAUCGACGAAUUGAUGCUUUGUUUUAUCUGCUGUGGUCGAGCUUUGCUCUCGUGGGCUCCCAUCAUCGUCACACGUAUAUGUAACAUUCACUCGUACUCAAUACAGUGCUCCCGCGGCCCUGGUGGCUGCCGCAUGAGGUUCGAAUUCUUGCUUUGUACCAAAUAGCCACUCUUAAAUAGUCACAGCCAAUUCGAAGUAUGCACGUAUCAAUUAUUCCGCCUGUGGCCUAUUGACAACUGAGUUGCACGUUGGUAGCCACUUCAGGCGGUGUUGGUAUGUGACAGACCGGACUUCUUACGUAAGGUGAAGGUGGCUUUUUUCUACCAGUUCUGGUCGAGAAGAUGGGAGUUCAUUGACGUGGACGGCUUAAACGUCGCCAUCGCGGCCUUGUAUUUUUUCCACUCCUCAAAGAGAUAGGCACAAAGUAUUUAUAUUAGUGAGACACAUCGAUGAGUUAGAAAUCUUCUAUAAAUAUACUACGUAACUGGCCCAGGUCCGACAGCAGCACGUGAUGCACUGAAGAGCUUACAGAGAUCGCCUGACACUUGCGAAUUCUCAUAUCACUGCUGUUGCAGCUUUAAAAGAACUUGUUUGGUUCCCUUCUUUCCUGCCAGCUCGGAUUCGAGGAUUGGUUCUUUUGUGGUCGCACAGAAGAUUACCUAACUUGACUGCUUUUAUCUCAUAACUGAAGUCAUAUCCAGACUGGCACAGUUCGGGAUCGCGGUUUAUUUGUACCGAGGCAAUAUUUGCUUAGUACGGUGUGAGGGAAGGGAGCGGCUGCGAUCUCGUUUUGCCCUGUGGCUACCUCGUCUGUUUCAUGUCGAGGGUACCGGUUUGAAUGCGUGGGAAAAUGCUCCACUCAGUUUGUUGGCAUAGAUAAUGAAUAGUGUGACAUGACACAGGAUUCAGUUGAUUUAGGAAUACUUUUUCGGCUUGGUUGUUUUUCAGUUCUCGUACAUAGAAUCCAUGAAACGCGUGAGAGAUCCGCAGAUUCCAGUCUCCCAUGCUGACGUGGGUAUUCAACCUCAAUGAACAGGAAGUACGUUUUUUGCCGCUGGAAUAAUUGGAAAAAUAGAGUUUGCCUACAGGAUUAAGACCUACUUCUCCAUAGCGCCUUCUAUAGAAUGGGUCAAGAGCACGUAGACAUUUAUCGCGUGUCUUUACAAGCGCAUAUUUCACCGCAUACCUGAGCACGCGCUACUCGGCAUCAAUGUCUAAGCACAUUCAGCGGGCGCACAGAGAAAGGGAAUACGGUGAAGCGAUGAUGCCGCCCUUUGUAGCACUGCUCAUUCAGCUAAUGGUCAGCCCAGGUGCCAACAACUGACGCUUGCAUAUUGGGACAAACUCAACGGCCCACCUUUGAGAGACUGAGUAUUUGAGGAGUAGAAAUCGGCACUCAUGCUUCGCCUGGCAUGAACCUAUAGUUCCAGAAGGCCCGUGCUCAAUGUCAAACCUGAAACGUGCAUCUAGUUCUGGGAAUGGUAAAGAACUAUACGCCUAAACGGUACUUCGAGAACCACUUGAAAAUCAACUCUCAACAGGUAAGCGUCGGGACUACAGUAAGAAGAGGUUCCGAUGGUGAAUUGAUGCUUUUUCAACUAGAAUUGCGUGGCUGUCCUAAACGCGCGCAAAAAUGUGGCCAUCACGAGAUGUAUCACCGGCCACUGUGCCAGCGCCUAACAUAUGUGUAUUUGGUCCCGCUUGUCUCGCCGCUGAGUAGCGAGGAAUGCAUCAAUCCGCUGACGAGUGUAACAUCCGCACAAAGACAAUUUGGAGUUGUGAGGAAUGUGUCGGGGUGCACUAACAGCCCUUUUCAGUUUAGGCGGAGGGGACUCAGGACAUAGAACGCACGCAGACUACGUCGUGCCUUAGCAAACACGACAGUGUCCUUUCAGCAGGUACUCAGAAUUAUCACAUAUAAAGUGGAUUUCGGCAAGUGAGGGGUGGCAAAAAUAAAUGUUGAACCGUACUUUUCUGGAUAUCACAGCACGGGGCUGCCUCGUUGUUCAGGCGAUGCGUCGCUAUUGCACACGUGCAUACACACAUACGAGAGCCCGAGAGAGAGGCCAAAACUCAGGAACCUAUUGGAUGUACGAUGAGCUACCUAUCCGCCAUGUAUGGGGAAUAUGAAGUUCACCUCAGGCAGGAUUGUUGCUGUGGAGAGAGGCACGCCGUCAGUGUACUAAGAACCCCGCCUGGCUUCUUGUGGUCCUCCAUCACAAGGGAGCUGUUCUGAAAUUUUUUUGCUCCCGGGCGACUUUGCGAAAGAGGGUGCUGGAGCUAUUCACUGGAAAACAGUGCUGUGAUUCUGCCUGUCGUCGUACCAUCUUCCUGAUUCGGAGCUUCAAAUCAAUCGCAGCUUUACCGCUCAAGUGUCAAACGGGUCAGGCUCAAUUUGCUCGGUCGUGCUGUGGCUACUGUGAGAGUGACGUACCGGUGAUUAAGACUGGAGCCGUUGACGGAUGUUGUGCCGUGAUUCAGAUGAAGA
rnacentral:lncRNA from 1 species